UGGUUAUAGAAUCACACACUGCAUGCUGUUAAGCAGAUUUGAGGCCUUAGCCAGCCAUUCUAACUACAAGAUAUUCAAGUUUUGCUUGUGCUGGAUCUGUCAUCACCAACAAUCCCAGCAACAACGCUUGGAUAAACAGCAUCAAGUUUGAUGGGAGAAACUACCGAUGUCGGCCGAUCUUUCUUAUUCCCCUUUCUUUAAAUCCCCUCUGUCCUCGUGUACACCCAUGUGAGUGUGGGGGUAUUCACGAGUCUGAGGCCCCUUUCCCCUAUCCCGCCUGAUGGAUUCAACUCUUCUGCAGAUGGAGCAACUGGAGAUGAUGCCUGGCUGUAUUUCCCAGGCUUAAAGAUGCAUGUGAGAUGGUGAAAUCCUGAAUCUCAAAAAAUCCAAUAACUUCAUUUCACCGAAUCGACUUUCUUUUCCAAUUUGAAUCUCCACUGGUGAGUUGUAGUUAAGCCUAUUUAUGUAGCCUAAUACUAUAGAUAAUAGACUAAUUUUUUGGAGCUUGGUUCAUGCGAGCUUCGACAGCAUUCUAGCAGUUGGCUGUUUUAUCAAAAUGAGAAAACAUGCACAUUCAAAUUCUCACAGCAUCACAUAGACUGUGUGUCUGACACAACUGCUGAUAACACCAAGUGGAAAAUUUGUUUGGAAUUUUAAAUGAUAAAUACUUUCUUUUGUUCUACAUCAUCUCAGGUAUGAGCUCUGAGACUAUGCAUUCUCUUGUUUUUUUUAAAUCUUGUAAAAUGUCCUCGUCCACAAAUUAUCUCCUAAAAUCUUCAUUAUCAUUCAGAUCUGCAUUAGGUUGCUGUUACAGUAAAUAUGAUCCAGUGAAAUAUUCCUCAGUCGAUUUCAUGUCUUUUAUGUGUUAUCGUCAAUAUCCUGAGCUUUAGAAAAAACAGUGUUCAUUCCAACAUUCCAUUCCAUUGCCAACACACAAGAUGCAAGUUUCUGAAUGGAAGUAAAGAGUUUUAUCAAGAUUGGACUUGAUUUGCUAAUAAUAAUUGGAACUGAUUUUCAACAGUGAAAGUGCGUGAUCAAGAUAAUGCCGCUAAUAAGGUGUGUAUUAUGUUGACGAAAGCCAUUUCUAGCUUCUAUUUAUAUCAGCAACGGCGAAACAGACAACAACUAGGACGAAAAUGGGAAGGAACUUCAUCUAUUAGCGUUGUCGAUGGGAUCUGAGCUUCUGUAGAUGUGGAUCGUCAACUGCGACAGGGCCACCAUUUUAAAGUGCAUUACAACCUGUUGUUUAUAACACAGUAGAGAGCAUUGAAAAGAUAUCUGGCGAGUGCCAUACCGUAAGCUGGGUCUAGUCUCCGUUCUAUUGCAUGUCACUUUUUCAUUAUUUAUUUGAAAAACAAAAAUUAACCAGAUACAGUGUGUGUCCAGGGGAAAAGCCUCAGUAACCUAACACGCAAAUGCAGCCCGACGUUGUUCGGUUUUUGAGGACGAGGUAACAGGCAUCGUCGAAGCGUUAAUAAUGCGCAACAUUCCCAAAGUGACUAAGUCUCAGCUAUAGUUGGCUAUAAAAUAUGAUUUUAAACGAUGAAUCAUACGAAAGUGUAUAUCCAUACCUACGCUAUUAGUAAAAUAUUUUUGGCCCGCAAUUAAUGUACACUUAAAAAUCUGUUGUUCUAAAUGUUUAGAUUGUUGGCUUCACGAGUCAUUUUGAUCACGAUUCUUUGGCAAGGCGCGAAUGCGGUUUGAAGUGCCUCAUCCCCAAAUUAUCUCCUAAAAUCUUCACCCUGUAGGUUUCACCAGGGUUUCAGUUACGGUGAAUAAGGUCCAGUUAAAUAUUACUCAGUCAAUUUCAUUUUUAAAUCGCAUGCUCUAGAAGGAAAAGAUGGCUUUUUCUAACAUUUUGUGCUUCAAAUUACUCGUGUACAGUUCCCCUUUGCCUGAAGGAUAUGCUGUCUUGGACCAACAUUCACCAAAAUGUAAGUUUUUGAAUGGAAAGAAAGUUUUCUCCUUGAAUGUAUUUGUAGCUAAUGGAAACUGAUUUUCAACUGAGAAAGCGGUAAGACAAUGCUUCUUAUGUGUGUAUUCUAAUGACAUCAGACCAAAUUAUUUAUUAUAGAAGGAAAAGCUGGAAAAAAGAUACAUCUUAUUAUAGGGAUACUGUUUCAAAUAGAAGAAAACUUAAGGAUUAAACUGGCUACUCAGUGAAUCAGAGAAUAGUGGUUGGGGCAUCAGUGACUGGGGCAACUGUGCUUGGGGCAACUGUGCUUGGUGCUUCAGAUGUGCUUCUUCCACCAGUGACUGGGGCAUCGGUGAUAGUUAUCGACAUCGUAGUGGUGGUUGUCGUCCAGGGUGUAGGUUUCUUCGUUGUCUUCGGUUUCUCUGUUUUUUCUGGUUUUUCGGUCUUUGGUUUCUCUGUUUUUUCUGGUUUUUCGGUCUUCGGUUUCUCAGUUUU